rnacentral:lncRNA from 1 species
UCGAUAUCCAUACAACAGCCUUUGUUGUCUCCUCCAUUACAUUAAAAUCAAUAGACCAUGGAAAUAGUCUAAUUUGGUGCUCCCUUCCAUUGUGAUUAAAGUAAAAAACUGACCUCGCAAGUGAUGUACGAAAAUCGUCAGAUUGAUCCAUCCUGAUAAGAAUUUGUCAUGGUGCAAGUUGCCCGAUCAAAGCUUGUCCUUUAAUUCCAAGGAUUUUUGGCAGUAGGUUCCUCAAGGUUGAUAACUCCAUCUUGUUUGAAGAUAGUUUCACCACAAUAGCUUGAUGCAGUCUGUCCUUUAAUUCCAAGGAUUUUUGGCAGUAGGUUCCUCAAGGUUGAUAACUCCAUCUUGUUUGAAGAUAGUUUCACCAUAGUAGUUUGAUGCAGUCCCUCCUCUUUUGCAUAAUCUAGUCGUUCUUCCUUUGUAAAUUGAAUAGUUGGUACUCCAUGUAUAACUUCAACUUGUUUUAUAUUUGUUUGGUUCGAAAAAAAUGAAACGGG